CCUACGGGAGGCAGCAGUGAGGAAUAUUGGGCAAUGGAGGCAACUCUGACCCAGCCAUGCCGCGUGCAGGAAGACGGUCCUAUGGAUUGUAAACUGCUUUUAUUUGUGAAUAAACUCCGGUACGUGUACCGGCCUGAAUGUAGCAAAUGAAUAAGCACCGGCUAACUCCGUGCCAGCAGCCGCGGUAAUACGGAGGGUGCAAGCGUUAUCCGGAAUCAUUGGGUUUAAAGGGUCCGCAGGCGGAUGUAUAAGUCAGUGGUGAAAUCCUACAGCUUAACUGUAGAACUGCCAUUGAUACUGUACAUCUUGAAUUCGGUCGAAGUGGGCGGAAUAUGUCAUGUAGCGGUGAAAUGCUUAGAUAUGACAUAGAACACCGAUAGCGAAGGCAGCUCACUAGGCCUGGAUUGACGCUCAGGGACGAAAGCGUGGGUAGCGAACAGGAUUAGAUACCCUGGUAGUCCACGCCGUAAACUAUCAAUACUCGUUUUCGGCGAUAUACAGUC
rnacentral:rRNA from 1 species